GUAUAUUGCACAUGGCGGGAAAUAUCAUUCUAGAAGGUUUUACUGCUAACCAACACCGAGACUUCUUCAAGUCAGAAAUGUGACUUUAAGCUUGUCUCACCAAACCAUUAACACUGGAUUAAAAGAGCUUACUAAGCGGUAGACAAGCCGAGAGGAGGCGGAGUAUAUAUCGUGACAUGGCAUUUGGAUACAGAAGUGGGAAGUUGAGUUCACGACGAAGGAAUCUCCGUCAUGAUGACGUCACAGUAUCGUUUGAAGAAUCGUCUCGGCAACAUC